rnacentral:lncRNA from 1 species
AGACACUGGGAUGGCUGCACCUUUACCCGUCCUCUCCAACUCUCUCCACCUAGAAAGUAUUCUUUUCUCUUAAUUUUGUUAGAGUUAUAUAGGAAUGCUCCUUCAGCAGAAAUGACAGAGGCUGUUGCUCUCAGAAUCAAAUGCAAUAAUGUGACCUGUAAAUUCCUGUGAAUAUUUGGAUAUUUUAGCGAUAUUUGUUUAUUCAGAAGAGAUUCUGGAUGCAGAACUCUCCUCCUCUCUGUUCUCUAACCCUGCUUUCCACCAUCAUUCUUCUCUCUCUAGGGCACAGAGAGAAUUAAGAACAACCUAAGGGUCAUUACAAUGAUCUAACUGCCUUACCUGCUUUUGAACUGGUUGAGCCUCUUGUGGGACCGAAAACAAAAGAAGGGUGUUGAAAUGCAAAUAGAUAACUCUGGGUCCCAGUCCCUGACUGCAAAAGGAAGCCAAAACUGACAACAACGUCUCCUUCUCUACGGAGGUUUGUAGAAAGGCUGUACAAAAAUCUCACAAGAUGUAUUUCUUCUCGUGGACUGGAGUCCCAAGGUGCUUAAGAGCUCUUCAAUUUGUUAAUGGAAAGAAACACCAUUUACACCGGAUGGCUACAAAGCAACCUUAUUCUGAUCUUUUCUCAGAAUAGCAGUCUGUAGGCUGUCACCUAAAGUGUCCUGUUUUCAGUGCUGCACCUGCUCUGAGCUUCAUCUUUUUACGAAGACGUCAUGGUGUGCUAUCUGUACUGGGAAACUUUCCCCAGCAUCAGCCAUCUCCUGAAGAUAACAUUGUCUGCUAGAGAUUGUCAUGUAUGUGGAUUGAAUCUCUUUAUCUUCAUGGAUCCAGUUGAAAAU